rnacentral:ncRNA from 1 species
GAAGAGCUCGGUGAAAAUACAAUGCCGGUGAAGAUGCCGGCUACCUGCAGUUAGACGAAAAGACCCCGGGAGCUUUACUGUAGCUUGAUAUUGGGUCUAGGUUUUUGUUGCGUAGCAUAGGUGGGAGAGGUUGAUCCCCGGUUUCCGGAUCGGGGGGACUCGUCAGUGAAAUACCACUCUUUAAAAACUUAGAUUCUAACCAAUCCGAUACCUAAAAAUGGAAAGCGGAUUGAGACAGUGUCUGGCGGGCAGUUUGUUUGGGGCGAAACCCUUAAGAAGACUGGUCAUUAAGCCGAUCAGUUGUGGGGGCUCCGCGUAAUGCGGAGAAAACAUUCAGCUAUAUGCUGGAACAUCCGGAUGUAUAUGUUGGUACCCGUCGAAGGGUAAAAAACCAACUUUGAAUAUUUCGCGCUUCUGCGGUAACGCAGUAUGUACGAAAUGUGCCGGACAAUCAGCAGGCAACCGAGCGCCUAUGGGUGCUUGGGAGCCCUCAACGACUAUACGCUGAAACCGCUGUAUGGCAGCGGCAUGAUAUAGUCUGAUCUUUCGGGCGACCGAAAGUGCGCAUACUUGCGCAACUUAAUAUGCAUUCAUUGGAAAUCGAAGAGCGAAAGAAACACAUACGAAUAAGCGAUUUCGAGAGAGAUAUUAUUGUGGGCAAACUUCUUGGUGACGGCCACCUUGAAACAAAGAACCAAGGCAGAACGUAUCGGCUGAAAGUGGAGCAUUCAAUCAAGCAAAAGGAAUACGUUGAUUGGGUCUACGGAAAAUUACGGCACUUGGCGAUGUCAGAGCCGUGUGUGAAAGAAAAAGAUGUAUUUCCACCGCAAGGCGGAACAUUCAAAUUUCACGGAUACGGUUUUACCAGUUUGUCGCUUGGCCAAUUACGUUUUUAUGGCCAGCAAUUCUAUAAUCAUGGCAAGAAAGUUAUUCCGAAGAUGAUUGGAAAAAUGCUUUCUCCAUCGGUGAUUGCCAUUUGGUAUCUUGAUGACGGAUCGCUUAAAUCGAAUACCCAUCGAACAUACAUUAUCCAUACCUAUGGAUAUACGAAAUCUGAUUUGCGGAGAGUGCAGGAUGCACUCCUGAAGCGCUUUGACAUACACACAAAUCUUCAUCGUCAAAAUAAGAACGGAAAAGUAUACUGGAGAAUGUAUGUCAUGUCGGAGUCGGCUUGGACAUUUCAGAAAUUGAUCGAGCCGAUUAUCAAACACAUUCCAUCAAUGCAAUAUAAAUUAGGGAACACACAUGCCCAAAAAGUAACGGAGGGGCUUAAAGGUUGGCUUAGGACGAAUGGAAACCGUCCAUGACGUGUAAAGGCACAAGCCAGCUUAACUCUAAGGCGGACAUGCCGAGGAGAUACGAAAGUAUAACUUAGUGAUCCGAUGGCUAUAGUACUUAUUUACAUUCAGGGGUAACUCUGAAUGUGAGUAUGUAUUUCUUACUAGAAUAAGGCCAAAGCUCAACGGAUAAAAGCUACCCCGGGGAUAACAGGCUAGUCGCUUCCAAGAGUCCAUAUCGACGAAGCGGAUCGGCACCUCGAUGUCGGCUCACCCUAUCCUGGGACUGGAGAAGGCCCCAAAGGUUUGGCUGUUCGCCAAUUAAAAGGGUACGCGAGCUGGGUUCAAACCGUUAAGAAACGAGAUUUAUGAAUCUUGAUUUAUGAUUUAAGAUUUAUGAUCAGUUUUUUAACAGUUUGAACCCGAGGAAUGACAUCAAUAACGGCGGCGUUCCGCAGUAACGCGGAAUGUGAAGUUAACUUAUAUCGGUAAAAUCCUUUUGACAUUUUCCAUAAAUGUUUCUAGAGACAAUACCGAGGGAAGAAAAACAUUACUAUCUUUAAACCACAAAAAUUAUGGCAAUCGAAAACAAUGAAAGCAACCCAUCAUACCAAACACAAAAGGCAGAGAAAAUAGAAGAGAUUGGAGUUUUACUUCAAGAUCUGUCGCAUAGCCUUUCGUAUAAAGAUGGAAAAUUGCAUCAAUUUAACCUAUUUGACCUUCAAGAAAUUGAAAGUCGCCUAAAGGCCCUCAUAAAAGAAGCGAAUGAGGGAAGAAUAAAAGACUAGAUGGUAAUGUUUUAUCACCCGUAGAGACUACACGUUAACCUCCCAAUGAAAAUUUGCAUCCGCAAAUUGAAUCGGGAUGAUGAUAUAGUCCAAUGCACAUAGUAAUAUGUGGUAGACAUGCGUGAGACAGGUUGGUCUCCUAUCUACUGCAGGCGCAAGAUACUUGAGAGGAGUCGUCCUUUGUACGAGAGGAUCAGGAUGAACGAACCUCUGGUCUAUCGGCUGUUCCGCCAGGAGCACUGCCGAGUAGCUAUGUUCGGAAGGGAUAACCGCUGAAAGCAUCUAAGUGGGAAGCCCACCUCAAGAUAAGGUAUCAUAGAUCCGUGAGAGAUGAUCACGUUGAUAGGCCGUAGGUGUACGCGCAGUAAUGCGUUCAGCCGAGCGGUACUAAUAGAUCAUUUUUUACCUGC